GACGAACGCUGGCGGCGUGCCUAAUACAUGCAAGUCGAACGCAGUGGGGACGGGUGAGUAACACGUGGGUAACCUCCCAUCAGAGGGGAUAACACUUGGAAACAGGUGCUAAACCGAUACUGAUGGAUGGACCCGCAGUGCAUUAGCUAGUUGGUGGGGUAACGGCUAACCAAGGCCACGAUGCAUAGCUGGUCUGAGAGGAGGACCGGCCACACUGGGACUGAGAAACGGCCCAGACUCCUACGGGAGGCAGCAGUAGGGAAUCUUCGACAAUGGACGAAAGCCUGACCGAGCAAUGCCGCGUGAGUGAAGAAGGUCUUCGGAUCGUAAAGCUCUGUCGUUAGGGAAGCGGUAUCUAAACAGAAAGCAAAGGCUAACUACGUGCCAGCAGCCGCGGUAAUAC
rnacentral:rRNA from 1 species